rnacentral:rRNA from 1 species
AGUGAACGCUGGCGGUAGGCCUAACACAUGCAAGUCGAACGGCAGCACAGGAGAGCUUGCUCUCUGGGUGGCGAGUGGCGGACGGGUGAGGAAUACAUCGGAAUCUACUCUGUCGUGGGGGAUAACGUAGGGAAACUUACGCUAAUACCGCAUACGACCUUCGGGUGAAAGCAGGGGAUCUUCGGACCUUGCGCGAUUGAAUGAGCCGAUGUCGGAUUAGCUAGUUGGCGGGGUAAAGGCCCACCAAGGCGACGAUCCGUAGCUGGUCUGAGAGGAUAAUCAGCCACACUGGAACUGAGACACGGUCCAGCCUCCUACGGGAGGCAGCAGUGGGGAAUAUUGGACAAUGGGCGCAAGCCUGAUCCAGCCAUACCGCGUGGGUGAAGAAGGCCUUCGGGUUGUAAAGCCCUUUUGUUGGGAAAGAAAUCCAGCUGGCUAAUACCCGGUUGGGAUGACGGUACCCAAAGAAUAAGCACCGGCUAACUUCGUGCCAGCAGCCGCAGUAA